ACGUAGGGAGCGAGCGUUGUCCGAAGUUACUGGGCGUAAAGCGCGCGUAGGCGGGCUGUUAAGUGAGAGGUGAAAGGCUGGGGCUCAACCCCAUGCAGUGCCUCUCAUACUGGCGGUCUUGAGUGAGGCAGGGAGAAGUGGAAUGGCUGGUGUAGCGGUGAAAUGCGUAGAUAUCAAGUGGAACACCAGUGGCGAAGGCGAGUCUCUGGACAUUUCCUGACGCUGAGGCACGAAAGCCAGGGGAGCAAACGGGA
rnacentral:rRNA from 1 species